rnacentral:rRNA from 1 species
GACGAACGCUGGCGGCGUGCCUAAUACAUGCAAGUAGAACGCAGUUGCGAACGGGUGAGUAACGCGUAGGUAACUGCCUGGUAGCGGGGGAUAACUAUUGGAAACGAUAGCUAAUACCGCAUACUACCAGAUGGACCUGCGUUGUAUUAGCUAGUUGGUGGGGUAACGGCUCACCAAGGCAACGAUACAUAGCCGACCUGAGGGGGUGAUCGGGAAACAUGGUGCUGGGUAACAGCCCCGACUCCUGCGGGAGGCAGCAGUAGGGAAUGUUCGGGCAUGGAAGGAAGUCUGACCGGGCAACGGCGCGUGAGUGAAGAAGGUUUUCGGAUCGUAAAGCUCUGUUGUAAGAGAAGCGGUAUCUUACCAGAAAGGGACGGCUAACUACGUGCCAGCAGCCGCGGUAAUUC